rnacentral:lncRNA from 1 species
GUUGCCCAAGCCCAGCAGAAGAAAGGAAGAAAGCCAGAGGGAGAAAGAAAAACUUCUUCAAACCCCUCAGGAGGACAGCAAAGAAGCUACAUAUGGUCUAUCGUGCAUCCACAUGACCACGACACGGUGGGAAUUGCUAUGAUCUCAGGGGAUCAUUCCGUAGGAAAGCAAAGAUGCAAUAGCCUUAGCUCAAAAAUGAAGAGGUACAGAUGGAAGGAUGCAGACUUUCAAC